rnacentral:rRNA from 1 species
GACGAACGCUGGCGGCGUGCCUAAUACAUGCAAGUAGAACGCACAGUUUAUACCGUAGCUUGCUACACCAUAGACUGUGAGUUGCGAACGGGUGAGUAACGCGUAGGUAACCUGCCUGGUAGCGGGGGAUAACUAUUGGAAACGAUAGCUAAUACCGCAUAAUAUUGAUUAUUGCAUGAUAAUUGAUUGAAAGAUGCUAUUGCAUCACUACCAGAUGGACCUGCGUUGUAUUAGCUAGUAGGUGAGGUAACGGCUCACCUAGGCGACGAUACAUAGCCGACCUGAGAGGGUGAUCGGCCACACUGGGACUGAGACACGGCCCAGACUCCUACGGGAGGCAGCAGUAGGGAAUCUUCGGCAAUGGACGAAAGUCUGACCGAGCAACGCCGCGUGAGUGAAGAAGGGUUUCGGAUCGUAAAGCUCUGUUGUAGGAGAAGAACGGGUGUGAGAGUGGAAAGUUCACACUGUGACGGUAUCUUACCAGAAAGGGACGGCUAACUACGUG